GAAGGAAACUGGUCACUUCCAGGCACCGGAAAGGGAAGGGGCCAACAGAAAUGCUCCCCCAGCAUUGUGCUACCUAGUGGAGUUUUUCCCUUCCUUUUUAGUCAGGGAUCCUAGGGUACUUCGACAGACGACUAUUUUAAAUGGAUAAGGAAAUGAGGUUUAAAAUCUGGAAAGCGGGGUGCCUGGGUGGCUUGGUUGGUUAAGUGUCCGACUUCGGCUCAGGUCAUGAUCUCACGGUCCGUGAGUUCGAGCCCCGCGUCGGGCUCUGUGCUGACAGCUCAGAGCCUGGAACCUGUUUCAGAUUCUGUGUCUUCCUCUCUCUCUCUGCCCCUCCCCUGUUCAUGCUCUGUCUCUCUCUGUCUCAAAAAUAAAUAAACGUUAAAAAAAAAUUAAAAAAAAUAAAAUAAAAUCUGGAAAGCUUAGCUGGAGGUAGGUGGAAAAAGAAUGGCUUCUGGAUGGAAAAAAGGACAAAAGGUGGGCGUUUAAUCAAGACCUGACAAUAUACUCCCCACCCCAACAUGCAUUAAAAUUCUCAUGACUUAAGGAAUGAGAACAAAGAGCAGAUUAUUAUAUAAACUAGUUGGGAUCUUCACCUGACCUUUAAGUUCCCUGUAUUUGAAUCCAUAAUCCCAGUUCAGCUAUAAGAGGAUGGUAUUUACCUUUGUGCCUCUGGAACAAAUCCAUUACUCUUUUGGCCUCUAGUCAAGUUUGUCUUAUCACCUGAUGCUGUCUUAUUCCAAUUUUGUGAUACUUAAAAUAUUUUUAUGACUAUCAAGGAUGGUGGAUUGUAGACUUGAGAUUCUGGAGCUAGAACUGGGCCCGGAUGAUGCUUGUCUGUACAGUAGUUUCUGAUAUUUCCUGUAAGAAUUAAUUAUGCCUUCCCAUGGUUCCCCAUUGUAUCUGAAUGCAGCUCUCUUAAUGCACAGUUAUACAAUAUAGUUUGUUGUUUGAAAUCUGUUGUGGACUGAAUCGUGUCCACACACCCCCACCCAAUUCAUGUUGAAGCCCUAACCCCUGGUACGUACCUCAGUAUGACUGUAUUUGAAGAUAGGGUCUUUAGAGAUGAUUGAGUUAAAAUGAGGUCAUUAGGAUGGGACAUAAUUCAGUCCAACUGGAGUCCUGACAAGAAGAAGAGAUUUGGGCAAAGAGACACCAGAGAUAUAUGUGCACAGAGGAAAGAUCAUGUGAGGGUAUAGCAAGAGGGUGGCCAUCUGUGAGCAAGAAGAAAGGCCUCAGAAGAAACUAAACUUGUUGAUGUCUUGAUCUUGGACUUCUGGUCUCCAGAACCGUGAGGAAAUAAAUUUCUGUUGUUUCAGCCACCCAUUCUGUGCCAUUUUGUUAUGGUUGCCCUAGCAAACUAAAAAUCUUUCUCCGACACCAGACUCUGAACCAGUGGCUCAGUAGUCAUUCAGCUACAUACAGCUGACAGAUGGUAGGCACUUGGUAAAUGUUUGUUAAUGAGUGAAUGAACAAGUUGUCUAGAGAGGCCCCUCAGAGAUCAUCUGGUUCAAUCCAGGUCUCUUUCCCAGACUUGUGCCCUUUCUGCCACACAGAUGGAAGGUGUUGCAUCAUUUCCCCAAGUGCUAGUUUUCAAAUGUUCUCAUGUUCUGUUUUGAGUGCCGUUAAAAUAAUUUAAACAAGCAAACAUAGCCCCUGCCAUCUAAACUUUUCUAAUAUUUUACUCUCAUGUGACCUUUACUUGUAGUUGCAGAGGAAAGCCACAGAAUAUUAGAGUCAGAAGGAAUUUUAGAGAUUAUUUAGUUGGAUCCCUUUAUUGAGAAGUUUUUCUACCCUAAAUGUAAUAUACCUAUUUUAGAGAUGAUUUGGAAGGUACAAAUAAAGAAAUCUUUACUUUUAUCAUCUGAGUGUAUUUUGGUGUGUUUCCUACAUAUGAUUUUCUUUAUACAGUGAUAACCAUAGUAUGUGAACACUUUUUUUUUUUUUUGGUUCAUCUUAUAAGCAUGUUGCUAUGUCAUCUCCAUAAUGGACAUUUUUAUUCACUUUUUAAAAAAGUAGUCUCUACACCCAACAUGGGGCUCGAACUCGUGACCCCGAGAUCAGGAGUCACAUGCUCCACUGAUUGAGCCAUCCAGGCACCCCCAUAACAGACAUUAAAAAAUUUUUUUUAAUGUUUAUUUAUUUUUGAGAGAGAGAGAGAGAGAGUGAGAGCAGGGGAGGAACAGAGAGAGGGAGACACAGAAUCCGAAGCAGGUUCCAGGCUCCCAGCUGUCACCACAGAGCCCAAUGCGGGGCUCGAACCCAUGAACUGUGAGAUCAUGACCUGAGCCAAAGUCGGAUGCUUAACCAACUGAGCCACCCAGGGGCCCCCAUAACAGACAUUUUUAAUGACUGCAUAACAUUCCCAACAAGUGUGUGUGCUCCAAAUUAUUUAACUGUUUGUCCAUUGCUGAAUAUUCAGAUUGUUUAUUUUUGGAUAUUGAUAAAUUCUUUCUGUUUGUUACUGUUUUCCAAAUGUUAGAUUAUUGUCUUGGGCAAGAUUUCCCAAAGUGGAAUUACUGGGUCAAGAGUUAAGAACAGUUUUAUGUUGCCUGAUAUUAUUACUAAGUUGCUUUUAAAAGGGUUUCAUGAAUUAACUAAAUCACUGUCUGCCUUUUUUUUUUUUUUUCAGAUGAGAAAACUGAGGUCCAGAGAGAACAAAUGGAAUGCCCAAGUUCACAUAGAGAUAUUUGACAUCUCUGGAAGUAUUUUGGUUGUUGGAUCUGUGGACGAACUAUUGGUAACCACUGGAUAGUGGCCAGGGUCCAGCAAUAAACAGGACAAUCCCCUACAACAAAGAAUUAUCUGGUCCAAAAUAAUUUCCCUCAGCUAACCUGGCAGUAUAACCCAGUGGUGUCCUUCUGAUUUGUGGUCACACCCUUGGCAAAACCAGUCUUCGAGCUACUGAGCCACAGGCAGCCAAGAUAAUCACCACUAAAUAUGCCAUCUGCUGAUAAAUCAACUUUUGAUUAAUUAAAAGCAGUUUUUCAUGACAUUAAUUAUGCCUGUUUAUUUUCUCUCUUAUUUGCACACUCCAAGAGGCCCAGGGUUUCAUUUGGUUAGUUAAUACUAGAGGUUAGUGUAGGUCACUUGUUCUCAAAGAGGAGGGAUCUUACCAGCACCUCUCCCCUUCCUCUAGGACACGCACCAUUGUCUCCAGAAAAUCUCUUUACACCAGGGCUGGAGAGUUCUCCUGGCAUCUGGUGGGUGGAGGCUGGCAUGGUGCUAAUUAUCCUAUGGUAUAUGAGAUGGCCCCCAACAGGAAAUACUAGGCCACAAUCAGGGAUGAGGAGACAGAGCCCUUCUGUGUGCCCAUCACCCAGCCUUCCCAGGAGGCUUCCCCUCACUCUGCUCUUCCCCGUCUCUCCAGACUCUGCCCCUCUAGCCAGCCCCCCUCCUCCUGCAGCUUCACUGCCAGUCCUUGUGAACCUGAACGUGCCUUUGGUUCAAGGUCAGCCCUAAUCCCUCAACUCGUCUGGCUCCUUUUUGUUAUUUUUUUUAUUGUAAUUCCAAUGCAGUUAACAUACACUGUUGUAUUAGUUUCAGGUGUACAACACAGUGAUUCAGCAGUUCCAUAUAUCACUCAGUGCUCAUCAUGAUAAGUGUACUCUCGAUCCCCUCCACCUGUUUCAUCCAUCCCCCUCCCCCCCCCCACCUCGCCUCUGGUAACCAUCAGUUUGUUCUCUAUAGUUAGGAAUCUGGGCUUUUUUGGUUUGCCUCUUUUUUCCCCUCUUUGCUUGUUUGUUUCGUUUCUUAAAUUCCACAUAUGAAUGAAAUCAUAUGGUUAUUUGUCUUUCUCUGACUGGCUUAUUUGGCUUAGCACAAUAUUCUCUAUAUCCAUCCAUGUUGUGGCAAAUGGCAUGAUUUCAUUCCUUUCUGUGACUGAUUAAUAUUUCACUGUAUACAUUGACCACAUUUUCUUUAUCCAUUCAUUUGCUGAUAGACAUUUGGAAUACUUCCACAAUUUGGCUAUCGUAAAUAAUGCUGCAAUAAACAUGGGAGUACAUACAUUCCUUCAAGUUCGCGUUUUUGUAUUCUUUGGGUAAAUACCCAGUAGUGGAAUUACUGGAUCACAUUGCAGUUCUAUUUUUAAUUUUUUGAGGAACCUCCAUGUUGUUUUCUACAGUGGCUGCACCAGUCUGCAUUCCUACCAACUGUGCAUGAGGGUUCCUUUUUCUCCACGUCCUCGCCAACACUUGUGUUGUUGACUUCAGCCAUUCUGACAGGUGUGAGGGGAUAUCACAUUGUGGUUUUUAUCUGUAUUUCCCUGAUGGUCAGUGAUGUUGAACAUCUUUUCAUGUGCCUGUUGGCCAUCUGUAUGUCGUCUUUGGAGAAAUGUGUGUUAGUGUCUGUUUGCUCUUCUUCUAGCAGGGACAGUCCACUAGAGGGCACCCACACUCUUCCUUGAGCCUGUGGGGAGCUUUUCCACUUGCGACAAAUACAAGCGUAUUUCCUGCCAGAACCCCCAGCUUUCAAAUAACUCUUUAGAUUUGCCCAGGGUGAAGCUCCUGGGACAGAUAUCUGGGUCCCAGGGAGGAAUAUUACAUUGGAGGAUUGUGGGGGGGUAUGGACUGGCGACCCAGAAGCAGUCCUAGGGCCUAAGUCUUGGGGAGGGAUGGUUCCACACCUAGCAGGCAGCUUAGGCUAGACGUGCAGGAACAAGAUGCCCCCACCCUACCUGUUGGCACUGGGGAAAAUGACUGUAAGUCCAUGACCCUGAAGGACUGGAUCACUCUUUUUUUUUUUUUUUUAAUGUUUAUUUAUUUUUGAGAGGGAGAGUGUGUGUGUAUGUGUGACAAGGGAAGGGCAGAGAGAGAGGGAGACAGAGAAUCUUAAGCAGGCUCUGUGCUUUCAGUGCAGGAGCUGAUGCAGGGCUUGAACCCACGAACCAGGAGACCAUGACCUGAGCUGAAGUCGGACACUUAAGUGACUGAGCCACCCAGGCACCCCAGGAUCACCCUUCUUAAGUGUCCUUGCCCUCCCAGUAUUAGGAUUAUACACCCAUACCCUUUGUGACCUUGCAGCUCCUCCCCCCUGGAAGAGGGGCAUGUGCCCCCAAUCCCUCAUUCAUCUUGGGCUCAGCUGUAUGCUUGCUGAGGCUAACGGUCUGUGGGAGGAGAGACCUGGGGCAGUUCAGGGCCACACCAUAGGAGGCCUGGCAUGUUGUCCUUCCUCUCUCCUGAUCAGCUACAGGAAGAGUGUCUGCUUCUGGUCCCCUUCCCGCUGGUGCAUUUAGGAAACGUGCUAAGUGUCGCAGGCCAUCUGUGGUCUGAGGUCGGAGCCGUGAGUCUGGUUCUCUGGGCCAGGGGAGCUGCCCUCCCUCAGGCCCAGCUGUCUUCAGGAGGCUCUGACCCAAGCAGGGCUCUGUCCCUGGGUGUGGCCAGGGGAGAGCCUCUGAGGAGGGUUGAAGCCCAGGGGCUUGAAGUUCGGUUGGUGAACACAGACCGCCUUGCGCCACUCCUGAUGACACUGAUGUCUGUAGCGACCGUCCAGUAACUGCGAUGCUUGCUGCAGGUUGUAGGCACCUUCAUCAGGUCGAGGAGAAGUUUUCCCUUGGUUUCCGUACCAUCCAAAUCUGAGUGGACAUGGAGCGUCAUCAA